UACAGGGGGGGCAAGCGUUGUUCGGAAUUACUGGGCGUAAAGGGUCCGCAGGUGGCAGUGUAAGUCUGCUGUCAAAGAAUGAGGCUUAACCUCAUCAAGGCAGUGGAAACUACACAGCUAGAGUACGGUCGGGGUAGAAGGAAUUCCUGGUGUAGCGGUGAAAUGCGUAGAGAUCAGGAAGAACACCGGUGGCGAAAGCGUUCUGCUAGACCUGUACUGACACUGAGGGACGAAAGCUAGGGGAGCGAAUGGG
rnacentral:rRNA from 1 species